UACGUAGGUGGCGAGCGUUGUCCGGAUUUACUGGGCGUAAAGAGCGCGCAGGCGGUCGUACAAGUCGCGUGUGAAAGCCCCCGGCUCAACUGGGGAGGGUCACGCGAUACUGUUCGACUCGAAGGCAGGAGAGGGAAGCGGAAUUCCUGGUGUAGCGGUGAAAUGCGCAGAUAUCAGGAGGAACACCGAUGGCGAAGGCAGGUCUCUGGGCAUUAACUGACGCUGAGGAGCGAAAGCAUGGGGAGCGAACAGG
rnacentral:rRNA from 1 species